rnacentral:rRNA from 1 species
GAUGAACGCUAGCGGCAGGCCUAACACAUGCAAGUCGAGGGGUAACUAGAGUGAUAGCAAUAUUACUUUGGCUAGACCGGCGCACGGGUGCGUAACACGUAUGCAACCUACCUUAUACUGGGGAAUAACUUCGAGAAAUCGGCGCUAAUACCCCAUAACAUUGCGAAGAGGCAUCUCUUUGCAAUUAAAGCUCCGGCGGUAUAAGAUGGGCAUGCGUCCAAUUAGCUAGUUGGUGAGGUAACGGCUCACCAAGGCUACGAUUGGUAGGGGUUCUGAGAGGAUGAUCCCCCACACUGGUACUGGGACACGGACCAGACUCCUACGGGAGGCAGCAGUGAGGAAUAUUGCGCAAUGGACGAAAGUCUGACGGAGCCAUGCCGCGUGCAGGAUGACGGCCCUAUGGGUUGUAAACUGCUUUUGUACGGGAAUAAACCCUUCUACGUGUAGGAGGCUGAAGGUACCGUAAGAAUAAGCACCGGCUAACUCCGUGCCAGCCGCCGCCGUAAAAC